rnacentral:rRNA from 1 species
GACGAACGCUGGCGGCGUGCUUAACACAUGCAAGUCGAACGGAAAGGCCCUGCUUUUGUGGGGUGCUCGAGUGGCGAACGGGUGAGUAACACGUGAGUAACCUGCCCUUGACUUUGGGGUAACUUCAGGAAACUGGGGCUAAUACCGGAUAGGAGCUCCUGCUGCAUGGUGGGGGUUGGAAAGUUUCGGCGGUUGGGGAUGGACUCGCGGCUUAUCAGCUUGUUGGUGGGGUAGUGGCUUACCAAGGCUUUGACGGGUAGCCGGCCUGAGAGGGUGACCGGCCACAUUGGGACUGAGAUACGGCCCAGACUCCUACGGGAGGCAGCAGUGGGGAAUAUUGCACAAUGGGCGGAAGCCUGAUGCAGCAACGCCGCGUGCGGGAUGACGGCCUUCGGGUUGUAAACCGCUUUCGCCUGUGACGAAGCGUGAGUGACGGUAAUGGGUAAAGAAGCACCGGCUAACUACGUG